AGCAGCCGCGGUAAUUCCAGCUCCAAUAGCGUAUAUUAAAGUUGUUGCAGUUAAAAAGCUCGUAGUUGAAUUUCGGGAUCAAUUUAUUGGUCGUGCUAUUGUACGUACUGGUAUUAUUGAUUCCUACCUUCUGACGAACCACGAUGUCAUUAAUUUGGUGUCAUGGGGAAUCAGGACUGUUACUUUGAAAAAAUUAGAGUGUUUAAAGCAGGCUCACGCUUGAAUACAUUAGCAUGGAAUAACGAAAUAGGACGUUUGAUUCUAUUUUGUUGGUUUCUAGGAUCGACGUAAUGAUUAAUAAGGAUAGUUGGGGGCAUUAGUAUUCAAUUGUCAGAGGUGAAAUUCUUGGAUUUAUUGAAGACUAACUACUGCGAAAGCAUUUGCCAAGGAUGUUUUCAUUAAUCAAGAACGAAAGUUAGGGGAUCGAAGACGAUCAGAUACCGUCGUAGUCUUAACCAUAAACUAUGCCGACUAGGGAUCGGAUGAUGUUAAUUUUUAAUGACUCAUUCGGCGCCUUAAC
rnacentral:rRNA from 1 species